GAAACAUCCUGAUGAAGAAACAAGUGAAGCUGAAAGUCAGAGUCUGUCAGGUGGAGGUGGAGGAGGGGGCGGAGUCUGUCCAGCUGCCCUUCAGAACCACACAAAACCUGCCU